UACCAGCGACGAGUCUCUACUCCUAAUGGAGCAGCAGAUCGGUCUCCGUCGCCAACCAGACCUUCGCACGCCCGAUCCAGCCCUACGCCCCCUCCACGGCCGAUCCAUCCCCGUGCCGCGGCCGAUCCAUGCCCUAUGCCGCCGCCGAUGCCUCCUCCUCCACCUCCAUUCCCAAGCGAGGGCGCCCGCGGCCGCGGUCUUCUCCCCCAGCCACCAUGGCUGCAGAUCCACUCACGGCCGGUCGUCUAAGCUGCAAGCAUGGAUGGAUGGAUCCAGGAAGGUAUCCUUCCUCCCUGGGUGGAGCGAGCUGCACAUCCCAUUCGGCCCUCUGUAGUCGGCCAUCUCCGCCUCCUCCUCGCCGUCGCCGCCGCCGGGGAUCGCGUCUUCACCAAGCGCGAGCUCCGCCCCAUCCGACCGACCGCAAAGGGGUUGUCCAUUGUAAAUUUUCAAGGAGAUUCAAAUGUUCCUCUUCUGGAUGAUUGAAGGGAUACUUGAAGCUAGGGCAAUCCAAGUAAGAUAGCUUCAUCCUCAGGCAACAGGUUUAUGUUACCUUAUCAUGGAGUCAUUUUUAAGUUUGUGCCCAACGCCUUCAUCCUUAGAAUGGCUGCCCAGAUGGCAAGCCACCGUACUCAGGCGACUGCCGCGCUAGCAGGGUGCUCCAACUUUUGAUGCUGGCGAAGCUUUUGGAAUGAUGGCUACAUAAUUUGUUAGUCUCCGUUGGAAGCUUAAUUAAACUGAGGUUCAGAUGUGUGGCAAAGGAUUUCAAUUUUCCUGUUUACACAAAGGAAACUUGAGGAAGGUUCAGAUUUCUCAUGCUCGGUGCUGUGCUCUCAAGGUUACAUAGACAAGAAUGCCUCCUAUUUACACAACGGCAACCCGACGAAGGAUGACGGGGCGGGUCGGGAGGCGGGGAAAGCCGUCCAUGGCGAUCCUGGUGGCGUUGCUAAUGGCGUUAGUGGCACUGCCGCUCCUCAUGGUGCCCGACACGCUCUCUAUGCCAGGCUCCAACGGCGUGGAUCGCGGCGCCGCCCUGUCGCUCCCACGCCCGUGCUUCAGCAGAUCCGUGUUUGAGUCGUGCAUACCUUUAGCCGCCUCCCCUCCAAUGUCCACGACUCUGAUAUACCGUGUUUGUUAGUCUUGACUGGUGUUUGUUCUCCGUAUUGUUGUGCAGGAGGCUGGAGAACAGCAGGGAGAAAAGGGAGUCGUGGAUGGAGGUUCUGUACUUCUGUUGUAUCAACAUCUUCUCCAUGAGUCUUUUGCCCCCACUCUGUUUUUGGUUUGGGCCGAAACGUCAUCGUCUUGAUUCUUUACGUGGUUCAUUGGCUCAGACUUGUCCUACAUGGCCAAGCGAGAUCGAGGCUAGCCGCCGGUAAUGUUCUUCUCCCGUGCAAGUUCCGCACUGCAUUGAAGCAUCCAACACAUGAUGUAGCUACGUUACAGGUGGGACAUCAGCCAAGUAUGUUUCGAGGUGAGACAUCCAUCAAGUUUGUUUGGAGAAAAUAAGGGCCUUAGAAGAAAAUAAAAAAAAAUUGUGCAGUCCAGCUCCUGCGUGCUGGUCACCGAGCUCCACUGUGUCCAGCUCAUCCGACCAUGUGCUCCACUGCAUCUAGGUCAGCCGAUCUUGUGGCAGAGCUACACUGACGCAAGAGCAAAUAGUUUUACAAUUUCUUUGUUGUUCCUUUGUACUGGAUAACUGUGCAUUUUUAGAGGUGUGAAGAUGUAAUGCAAUAACAGUAACUGGGCGUAGGCACAUCCGUCUCGAUAAGCAUUAUGGGAACGGACAAAGGCAAGGUAUUCCAAUGUAAGAAAUGGAUGAAGGCAAGGUAUGUCAUUCUAAAAAAGGCAAGGCAUACCAGGAUGCUGCAUUGCUUAAUGUUCAGUUCUCUACGCUUUCCCUAUAGCAACCUUUUUUAGAUCUUAUGAGUUGUGUUUUCCUAACAAAAAAAUGUCCAUAUGGAUUCACUGAAACAAGAUUAUAUUAUCAGCAAUUCUGUUUGCAUGUAAUUAAUUAGUGAUAGCCUAUGCCUCACACGACUAUUUUUUCCAGUUCAGUUGUAUCCUUCAAUAUGGGUGCAAUGAAGUGUGGAUAGACAAACACAUUUCUUUUACUGUGAUAUCAUUGACCUUGUUGAUUUAUAUUUUCAAAACUGAUAGGAAUGAAAUCCAUAUGAAUCUUGUGAUGCCAAAGCUCUAAGUGCUGAUGAUUUAAAUUCCUAUUAAAAAAUCCUUAAAUAGAAAGUGGACCUUAUAGCGGAGAAUAAUGUGUAAGCUACAGGUGGAGUCCAUCUCAAGGGAAGUGAAACCGAAAACAUAGACCACAUUAGAGUCGAAGAUAAGGUGAAUGCAAUCACAGAUCCACAUGAGAGUCAGAUAAGAUUGGUGAAUGCAAUCAGAACUGUCAAAUGUGUGUUUUCCAAUUUUUCAUGCCGCAUGAUCUCUGCCCACUUUACUAGAAGAAGAGCCUUCCUACAUGGUGAAGGUGGAUAAGGAGCCAUUCAACUUAGAGGAAGUGUCUCAAUAAAUGUGUGUGUUACCAAGGUUGAAUUGUCUACUCGCUCUCUUGGAGGUUAUGUUCCUUCCCGUCUAUUAAGCUGUUAGUAUCCU